GAUGAACGCUGGCGGCGUGCCUAAUACAUGCAAGUCGAGCGAACAGACGAGGAGCUUGCUCCUCUGAUGUUAGCGGCGGACGGGUGAGUAACACGUGGAUCACCUACCUAUAAGACUGGGAUAACUUCGGGAAACCGGAGCUACUACCGGAUAACAUGAUGAACCGCAUGGUUCAACAGUGCAAGACGGUCUUGCUGUCACUUAUAGAUGGAUCCGCGCCGCAUUAGCUAGUUGGUAAGGUAACGGCUUACCAAGGCAACGAUGCGUAGCCGACCUGAGAGGGUGAUCGGCCACACUGGAACUGAGACACGGUCCAGACUCCUACGGGAGGCAGCAGUAGGGAAUCUUCCGCAAUGGGCGAAAGCCUGACGGAGCAACGCCGCGUGAGUGAAGAAGGUCUUCGGAUCGUAAAACUCUGUUAUUAGGGAAGAACAACUGUGUAAGUAACUAUGCACGUCUUGACGGUACCUAAUCAGAAAGCCACGGCUAACUACGUG
rnacentral:rRNA from 1 species